UCCCCGGCCACCGCGCCCGGCCCAGACGAUGCCGAGGGCACGGCGGACACCUCCCUGUGUCGCCUGUACCGGCACGUGUCGCACGACUUCCUAGAGAUCCGCUUCAAGAUUCAGCGGCUGCUGGAGCCGCGACAGUACAUGCUGCUGCUGCCAGAGCACGUGCUGGUCAAGAUCUUCAGCUUCCUGCCCACGCGCGCGCUGGCCGCCCUCAAGUGCACCUGCCACCACUUCAAGGGCAUCAUCGAGGCAUUCGGCGUACGGGCCACAGACUCGCGCUGGAGCCGAGACCCGCUCUACCGCGAUGACCCGUGCAAGCAGUGCCGCAAGAGAUACGAGAAGGGCGACGUGUCGCUCUGCCGCUGGCACCCCAAGCCCUACCACCAUGACCUGCCUUACGGACGUUCCUACUGGAUGUGCUGCCGCCGAGCCGACCGCGAGACGCCCGGCUGCCGCCUGGGCCUUCACGAUAACAACUGGGUGCUGCCCUGCAAUGGGCCGGGCGGAGGCCGGGCAGGCCGGGAGGAGGGGAGGUGAAGCCGGGGGAGGGGAGGGGAGAGCCCACCACGCCCACCCCUCCCCUCUCCCCCGGGAGCCGAGGGUCCGGACUGCGCCGCCUGCCCAUUCCCCCACUCCAGACAGCAUUGAUCCCCCACUGGAACUGAGCUGGGGUUCAGCAGGGGUGACCCAGGAAGGCACUCUGCUUGAUCCUGUUGAUUUUCUACUCUUCAGAACCAGGGCCGUGGACCCUCUGAGAAGGGUGUUUUUUUUAUCAGCAUCUCACUUUAUUCUCCAUUCAGCCCCAACCCCCUUCCCUGCCACGCUCUCCACCCCAGGGACCCACCAGCAGGGAGCAGACGGCAGCUAAUUUUGGUAUCACGUAAGGGUUCCCCCAUUCUGGCCCCCAUCCUCUCCCUCGCCCCAAUUCUUUCUCGCUGGAGCUGUUAUUUCCCAAGAGGCUGCAUCGCCCAAGGUUGGCACCUCUCCUAACCUGCCACACCACCGCUCUCACCUCUCUAGGAAUUGGGGGCUAUCAGGUCACAGGUGGGAGCUGGCAUUUUUUCAUGACAGUUCACCAUUU